rnacentral:misc_RNA from 1 species
AUACAGCCCAGAAUGUAAACCAAAGCAAAACCUCGCAGAACUGUCCCUUCCCUUGCCUUCUGCAGCUACCCGAGCCGGAACGUUCAGAGGCAGAGAGAGAGAGAGAUGCGUGCGAUUGUUAUCAAGUCAGAAAUUGACAUUGCGUUUUUUGUCUGAAGAUUUGGUUAUCUAUGGCUUCCUUUCUCCUCUCUAGCGCUAGUCUUUCCUCUCCUUUCCUCCACCAGAAACUCACUAAAUGUGAACAAAGAAAUACGACAAUGCUUUAUAGCCCAAUAUUGAGAAACCCU